rnacentral:rRNA from 1 species
UAGAGAAUCUUCGGCAAUGGACGAAAGUCUGACCGAGCAACGCCGCGUGAGUGAAGAAGGUUUUCGGAUCGUAAAACUCGGUUGUUAGAGAAGAACAAGGACGUUAGUAACUGAACGUCCCCUGACGGUAUCUAACCAGAAAGCCACGGCUAACUACGUGCCAGCAGCCGCGGUAAUACGUAGGUGGCAAGCGUUGUCCGGAUUUAUUGGGCGUAAAGCGAGCGCAGGCGGUUUCUUAAGUCUGAUGUGAAAGCCCCCGGCUCAACCGGGGAGGGUCAUUGGAAACUGGGAGACUUGAGUGCAGAAGAGGAGAGUGGAAUUCCAUGUGUAGCGGUGAAAUGCGUAGAUAUAUGGAGGAACACCAGUGGCGAAGGCGGCUCUCUGGUCUGUAACUGACGCUGAGGCUCGAAAGCGUGGGGAGCAAACAGG